CCGAGUUUACAACCCCCAAACCCCUGUGAACAUACCACUUGUUGCCUCGGCGGAUCAGCCCGCUCCCGGUAAAACGGGACGGCCCGCCAGAGGACCCCUAAACUCUGUUUCUAUAUGUAACUUCUGAGUAAAACCAUAAAUAAAUC
rnacentral:misc_RNA from 1 species